GUGCUCAUUUCGGCAGCACAUAUACUAAAGUUGGAAUAAUACAGAGAAGAUUAGUAUGGCCCCCGCACAAGGAUGACACACAAAUUCAUGACGCAGUCCAUUAAAAA
ensembl:snRNA U6 U6 spliceosomal RNA